CGCGUAGGCGGCGGACCGAGUCGAGUGUGAAAGCCCCGGGCUCAACCUGGGAGGUGCGCUCGAGACUGGCCCGCUGGAGUUCGGGAGAGGAGAGCGGAAUUCCCAGUGUAGAGGUGAAAUUCGUAGAUAUUGGGAAGAACACCGGUGGCGAAGGCGGCUCUCUGGACCGAGACUGACGCUGAGGCGCGAAAGCGUGGGGAGCAAACAGGAUUAGAUACCCUGGUAGUCCACGCUGUAAACGAUGUGUGCUAGACGUUGGGGAGCGUAGCUCUUCGGUGUCGCCGCAAACGCUUUAAGCACACCGCCUGGGGAGUACGGCCGCAAGGUUAAA
rnacentral:rRNA from 1 species